CCCUGGGUGGUGUAAAUAGUUAACAUGUUCAGUUGCUAACUGAAAAGCUGGAGGUUUGAGUCCAUCCAGAGGUG
rfam:Loxodonta africana unplaced genomic scaffold scaffold_39, whole genome shotgun sequence.